AGAUGGAGCAGUAUGGAAGAAAGCUAGAAAUCUACAUUGGUGUUACCUUGGAAAAUGCAUGGUGCUCACCGUCUAUGAGGUGGGAAAGCUGAGGAAGAGAAUGCUAAGUUCAAGGUUCCAGGGCCCACAGCUCUUCAGUGGCGGAGUGCCAUCUAGCUUUUCUGACUCACAGCUUCAGGACAAAGGUGGGGCUCUGACACAACAGCCUGAACCAACCAGUUUUAUCCUCAGUUGAACCACAAUAUCCCAGGCCUGUGGGAUUCUCCCUUGUGGAAGAAGGAUUGUUUCUGAACUGUAUCACAUCAACUUUGCUAAAAAAAGCAUCCCGGCUGAUUUAUUAGGGAUAGCGAAUGCUUAACUGGAGAGAGUAUAUAAGGGUUGGGGUGGUGGUGAAGGGAGGUUAUCUUUUUAAAGUAAGAUUUUUAACACAUGCAAAAGUCA